ensembl:miRNA
GUUGAUGGACCCGUCCUCCGGUGCCUACUGAGCUGAUAUCAGUUCUGAUUUUACAUACUGGCUCAGUUCAGCAGGAACAGGAGUCGAGCCCUA